GAACACAGGAGCUCUAGACACUGU
rnacentral:piRNA from 1 species